rnacentral:rRNA from 1 species
UACGUAGGGUGCAGGCGUUAAUCGGAAUUACUGGGCGUAAAGCGUGCGCAGGCGGUCUCUUAGGACAGGUGUGAAAUCCCCGGGCUUAACCUGGGAACUGCGCUUGUAACUGAGAGGCUAGAGUGUGGCAGAGGGGGGUGGAAUUCCACGUGUAGCAGUGAAAUGCGUAGAUAUGUGGAGGAACACCGAUGGCGAAGGCAGCCCCCUGGGCUAACACUGACGCUCAUGCACGAAAGCGUGGGGAGCAAACAGG